AACCAGCGGAGGGAUCAUU
rnacentral:rRNA from 1 species